rnacentral:rRNA from 1 species
AACAUGUCUAGCUUGCUAGAUGAUGUCGAGUGGCGGACGGGUGAGUAAUACUUAGGAACAUGCCUUUGGGUGGGGGAUAACUAUUGGAAACGAUAGCUAAUACCGCAUGACGUCUACGGACCAAAGGGGGCUUCGGCUCCCGCCCAGAGAGUGGCCUAAGCGAGAUUAGCUAGUUGGUGUGGUAAAGGCGCACCAAGGCGACGAUCUCUAGCUGUUCUGAGAGGAAGAUCAGCCACACUGGAACUGAGACACGGUCCAGACUCCUACGGGAGGCAGCAGUGGGGAAUAUUGCACAAUGGGGGAAACCCUGAUGCAGCCAUGCCGCGUGUGUGAAGAAGGCCUUCGGGUUGUAAAGCACUUUCAGUUGUGAGGAAAGGUUGGUGGUUAAUACCCAUCAGCUGUGACGUUAGCAACAGAAGAAGCACCGGCUAACUCCGUGCCAGCAGCCGCGGUAAUACGGAGGGGGUUAGCGUUGUUCGGAAUUACUGGGCGUAAAGCGUACGUAGGCGGAUCAGAAAGUAGGGGGUGAAAUCCCGAGGCUCAACCUCGGAACUGCCUCCUAAACUCCUGGUCUUGAGUUCGAGAGAGGUGAGUGGAAUUCCAAGUGU